CUCAGGUCUAUAAUCCUAGCACGUUGGGAGGCCAAGGCUGAUGGAUCACUUGAGUCCAGGAGUUUGAGAUCAGACUGGGCAACAUGGUGAAACUCUGUCUCCACAAAAAAUACAAAAAUUAGCAGGCAUGGUGGCAAGCACCUAUAGUCCCAGUUACUCAGAAGGCUGAGGCGGGAGGAUCACUUGAGCCCAGGAGGCAGAGGUUGCACUGAGCUGAGAUUGUGCCACUGCACUCCAGCCUGGGCAACAGAGUGAGACCCUGUCUCAAAAAAAAUAAAAAAUAAAUACAUAAGCUAAAA
rnacentral:lncRNA from 1 species